rnacentral:rRNA from 1 species
UGCCUACGGGGGGCAGCAGUAGGGAAUCUUCCACAAUGGACGAAAGUCUGAUGGAGCAACGCCGCGUGAGUGAAGAAGGGUUUCGGCUCGUAAAGCUCUGUUGGUAGUGAAGAAAGAUAGAGGGAGUAACUGGCCUUUAUUUGACGGUAAUUACUUAGAAAGUCACGGCUAACUACGUGCCAGCAGCCGCGGGAAUACGGAGGGGGCAAGCGUUGUCCGGAUUUAUUGGGCGUAAAGCGAGUGCAGGCGGGUCAAUAAGGCUGAUGUGAAAACC